UCAGACAUGCAAGCCGAAGCGGAAAGUCCCCUUCCGGGGACAAGUAGAGUGGCGCACGGGUGAGUAACACGUAGGUAAUCUACCUUUGGAUUGGGAAUAACAACCGGAAACGGUGGCUAAUACCGCAUAAUGCAGCGGCACCUAAUGGUGACAGUUGUUAAAGCGGGGGAUCGUAAGACCUCGCGUCUGAAGAGGAGCCUGCGGCGGAUUAGCUAGUUGGUAAGGUAACGGCUUACCAAGGCGAUGAUCUGUAGCCGGCCUGAGAGGGCGGUCGGCCACACUGACACUGACAUACGGGUCAGACUCCUACGGGAGGCAGCAGUCGGGAAUUCUGGGCAAUGGGCGAAAGCCUGACCCAGCAACGCCGCGUGAAGGAUGAAAUCCUUCGGGAUGUAAACUUCGCAAGAACGGGAAGAAUAAGUGAGAGUUAACAUCUCUU
rnacentral:rRNA from 1 species